ACCGAAUGUGCCUUAGGGUGAAAGAUUUAUUGUCUAGAGAUUGGCUCGCGUCAGAUUAGCUAGUUGGAGUGGUAACGGCACACCAAGGCGACGAUCUGUACUUGGUCUGAGAGGAUGACCAGGCACACUGGAACUGAGACACGGUCCAGACUCCUACGGGAGGCAGCAGUGGGGAAUUUUCCGCAAUGGGCGAAAGCCUGACGGAGCAAUACCGCGUGAGGGAGGACGGCUUUUGGGUUGUAAACCUCUUUUAUCAGGGAAGAAUCGAUGACGGUACCUGAUGAAUCAGCAUCGGCUAACUCCGUGCCAGCAGCCGCGGUAAUACGGAGGAUGCAAGCGUUAUCCGGAAUUAUUGGGCGUAAAGCGUCCGUAGGUGGUUUAUCAAGUCUGCUGUCAAAGCGUGCGGCUUAACCGCAUAAGGGCAGUGGAAACUGAUGAACUAGAGUGCGAUAGGGGUAACAGGAAUUCCCAGUGUAGCGGUGAAAUGCGUAGAUAUUGGGAAGAACACCAGCGGCGAAAGCGUGUUACUGGGUCUGCACUGACACUGAGGGACGAAAGCUAGGGGAGCGAAAGGGAUUAGAUACCCCUGUAGUCCUAGCCGUAAACGAUGACAACUAGGCGUGGUUCGUAUCGACCCGAGCCGUGCCGUAGCCAACGCGUUAAGUUGUCCGCCUGGGGAGUACGCACGCAAGUGUGAAACUCAAAGGAAUUGACGGGGGCCCGCACAAGCGGUGGAGUAUGUGGUUUAAUUCGAUGCAACGCGAAGAACCUUACCAAGGCUUGACAUCCUCGGAACCCUGAUGAAAGUUAGGGGUGCCUUCGGGAGCCGAGAGACAGGUGGUGCAUGGCUGUCGUCAGCUCGUGUCGUGAGAUGUUGGGUUAAGUCCCGCAACGAGCGCAACCCACGUUUUUAGUUGCCAGCAUUCAGUUGGGCACUCUAGAGAGACUGCCGGUGACAAACCGGAGGAAGGUGUGGAUGACGUCAAGUCAGCAUGCCCCAUACGCCUUGGGCUACACACGUACUACAAUGCGUCGGACAAAGAGCAGCCAGCCAGCGAUGGUGAGCCAAUCUCAUAAACCGGCGCUCAGUUCAGAUUGCAGGCUGCAACUCGCCUGCAUGAAGGCGGAAUCGCUAGUAAUCGCAGGUCAGC
rnacentral:rRNA from 1 species